UACGGAGGGUGCAAGCGUUAUCCGGAAUUACUGGGUUUAAAGGGUGCGUAGGCGGCUUUAUAAGUCAGAGGUGAAAGCCUGUAGCUUAACGGUGGAACUGCCUUUGAUACUGUAGAGCUUGAAAGAGGUUGAGGUCAGCGGAACGUGACAUGUAGCGGUGAAAUGCAUAGAUAUGUCACAGAACACCAAUUGCGAAGGCAGCUGGCUGGGCCUACUUUGACGCUGAGGCACGAAAGCGUGGGGAGCGAACAGG
rnacentral:rRNA from 1 species